UACGUAGGGUGCAAGCGUUAAUCGGAAUUACUGGGCGUAAAGCGUGCGCAGGCGGUUGUGCAAGACCGAUGUGAAAUCCCCGGGCUUAACCUGGGAAUGGCAUUGGUGACUGCACGGCUAGAGUGUGUCAGAGGGGGUAGAAUUCCACGUGUAGCAGUGAAAUGCGUAGAGAUGUGGAGGAACACCGGUGGCGAAGGCGGCCCUCUGGACCGAAACUGACACUGAAGCGACGAAAGCUAGGGGAGCAAACGGG
rnacentral:rRNA from 1 species